rnacentral:rRNA from 1 species
CCUACGGUAGGCUGCAGUGAGGAAUAUUGGUCAAUGGGCGUAAGCCUGAACCAGCCAAGUCGCGUGAGGGAUGAAGGUUCUAUGGAUCGUAAACCUCUUUUAUAAGGGAAUAAAGUGCGGGACGUGUCCCGUUUUGUAUGUACCUUAUGAAUAAGGAUCGGCUAACUCCGUGCCAGCAGCCGCGGUAAUACGGAGGAUCCGAGCGUUAUCCGGAUUUAUUGGGUUUAAAGGGUGCGUAGGCGGCCUUUUAAGUCAGCGGUGAAAGUCUGUGGCUCAACCAUAGGAUUGCCGUUGAAACUGGGAGGCUUGAGUAUGUUUGGGGCAGGCGGAAUGAGUGGUGUAGCGGUGAAAUGCUUAGAUAUCACGCAGAACCCCGAUUGCGAAGGCUGCCUGCCAAGCCAUGACUGACGCUGAUGCACGAAAGCGUGGGGAUCAAACAGGAUUAGAUACCCGGGUAGUC